rnacentral:rRNA from 1 species
CGCGAGUAUUCAGAGUUUGAUCCUGGCUCAGGAUGAACGCUAGCGGCAGGCUUAAUACAUGCAAGUCGAGGGGCAGCACAGUCCGCCGUAAGGCGGAUGGGUGGCGACCGGCAAACGGGUGCGGAACACGUACAGAACCUACCUUCGAGCGGGGGAUAGCCCAGAGAAAUUUGGAUUAAUACCCCAUAGUAUAUUUGGAUGGCAUCAUUUGAAUAUUAAAGAUUUAUCACUUGAAGAUGGCUGUGCGUAUGAUUAGGUAGUUGGCGGGGUAACGGCCCACCAAGCCUACGAUCAUUAACUGGUGUGAGAGCACGACCAGUCACACGGGCACUGAGACACGGGCCCG